GUGCCAGCCGCCGCGGUAAUUCCAGCUCCAAUAGCGUAUAUUAAAGUUGUUGUGGUUAAAAAGCUCGUAGUUGAACCUUGGGCCUGGCUGGCCGGUCCGCCUCACCGCGUGCACUGGUCCGGCCGGGCCUUUCCCUCUGUGGAACCCCAUACCCUUCACUGGGCGUGGCGGGGAAACAGGACAUUUACUUUGAAAAAAUUAGAGUGCUCCAGGCAGGCCUAUGCUCGAAUACAUUAGCAUGGAAUAAUAAAAUAGGACGCGCGGUUCUAUUUUGUUGGUUUAUAGGACCGCCGUAAUGAUUAAUAGGGACAGUCGGGGGCAUCAGUAUUCAACUGUCAGAGGUGAAAUUCUUGGAUCAGUUGAAGACUAACUACUGCGAAAGCAUUUGCCAAGGAUGUUUUCAUUAAUCAGGAACGAAAGUUAGGGGAUCGAAGACGAUCAGAUACCGUCGUAGUCUUAACCAUAAACUAUGCCGACUAGGGAUCGGACGGUGUUAUUCAUGACCCGUUCGGCACCUUACGAGAAAUCAAAGUGCUUGGGCUCCAGGGGGAGUAUGGUCGCAAGGCUGAAACUUAAAGAAAUUGACGGAAGGGCACCACCAGGGGUGGAGCCUGCGGCUUAAUUUGACUCAACACGGGGAAACUCACCAGGUCCAGACACAAUAAGGAUUGACAGAUUGAGAGCUCUUUCUUGAUCUUGUGGUGGUGUGCAUGGCCGUUCUUAGUUGGUGGGGUGACUUGUCUGCUAAUUGCGAUACGAACGAGACCUUAACCUGCUAAAUAGCCCGCAUUGCUCCGGCAGUGCGCUGGCUUCUUAGAGGGACUUCGGG
rnacentral:rRNA from 1 species